ensembl:lncRNA
CUUACAAGCUGUGUGACCUCGGAGAGAUGGCGCUAGUGAUAAAGAACCCACCUGCCAAUUCAGGAGAUGUAAGAGACUUGGGUUCAAUCCCUGGUCGGGAAGAUCCCCUGGAGGAGGGCACUGCAACCCACUCCAGUGUCCUUGCCUGGAGAAUCCCAUGGACAGAGGAGCCUGGCGGGCUACAGUCCAUGGGGUUCCAAAGAGUCAGACAGGACUGAAGCGACUUAGCACGCUGCACACAUAAACUCCUGAGAGAUGGGUGGAGUCGGACUGCUUCAAUUUCUCCCGGAGCUCACCUGCUAUUAGCAGUGUGUUUGUGUCUAAGUUCCCUUGUGUGUGAAACAGAAUGACGCUGGUGCCCAUCUCAUGGAAUUGUUACAAGUUGCAGUGGGAUUUACUACCCUAUGCCUUAUGGCAUCAUCGUAGGUAGCUUUCAGUCACCAUUACUAUUCAUUCCCUUCUUGUCAACCAACUUGCUUUGGAGUUGUCUGCCUUCUGAAAUUGUUUCUGAAGAAAAGCACUGACUUUCCUGAUACAGCAAACGUCGACAGGACACCAACAUUACUAGAAAGUGUCCCAAGAGGAAGAUAAAACCAAAGUGGCCCAGAACCACGGUGAGGAAAUGAACCAAGAGAAAACAAUCUCUAGAAUUCUAAGUGUGCAAACCAUAUUCGAGGCUGAGAGAAGGGGCUGUCUUCUCAGGCCUGAGUCCUACGAAUCUGGUGUCAGAAGCUGCUGGCUAAGGUUGCCCUCUUAUACCACCUCUAGGUCUUGCCCUUCCGGAGAGGUAGGUGAAGGGGUACAGA